UCGUUGCAUUUUGUGUUUUUUUCAUCACUUGUUCGACUUUCACCUGUACUAUGUUAAUUAGCAUCAUGCAUGGUGCUUGUAGGGUUUCAAUGGCUGUUAUGAUAUAGCGGUGGGUACAUAUUCCAAAAUACUGCUUUGAUUAGCAUAUGUAAUGCAUGGGACAAAAUUUCCUUAAUUUCUUUAUCGCUAUUGAUGUACAUGUGCACAUUUAUUGUCUUAUUAGUUAAUAAAAUGUGCUACAGACAAAGGUUCUGCAAUAUGGGAGUAUGAUUCUUUUUUUUACAAUUGUGUUUUGUACAAAACAUUGCUCAUCUUUUAAAUUGUGUCUUAUAUUUUACACAGUGCAUAUGCAAUUUGCACUAUAUUACAGUUGCAAACUUGGCGGGCCUCAUUUUCUUAUGUUUGUUGUAUUGCUCCUGGAAAUUAUUUACAGAAACAUAGCAUCAGGGCAUAUUACUUCAAUUCAGAUGUUUGCAGUAGUCCGCUUUGAAGUGGACAACACGGUCGCUGUUGUGCCAACUGGAUGGGUGGAUGGUGAUCAUUGUAUGUGGCCAGGCCAUUUACAUCCUAAAAACAUUGUGCAAGCUGCAAUGCGUGCAGACCCUCCAAAUGGAUCUUUCACUCGUUACAAGAUAGUCCUUCUUAGGCUGGAAUCCUCGUACGAAAAGGCACGUAGUUGGCUGCCACAGGCUGAGGACACUGACAACGUUCGUUCGUCUGGCGAUGAAGAAAGAGGCCGUGGGAAGCGAAAGAAAUUUCGCAGAAUAUAUUGGAGUGAUGAGAGUGAUGAGAGUGGUCUAGAAGACAUACCUUGCAAAUCGCAAAGGUAGGCAACGUUCUGACAGCCUGCUUUGUACUACCUUGGCAUACAACUUCUAGUAUGGCGUACUUGGGCAUGCAGACGUGCAUUUAUGAAAAGGUGAUGCAUUUUAAGAUUAAAAAUACCUUCUAUGAUUUAUAAUAGCAACUUGCUAAGAGUCUGGCAACUUAUUUUGCUUAAAGCUGGCUUCCUUUAAGCUUUUGACAUUUUGUGCGACUACUUCAAAUAAUACAGAACCCGCUGUGG